GACGAACGCUGGCGGCGUGCUUAACACAUGCAAGUCGAACGGAGAACGAGGGAGCUUGCUCCCUCCGGAUCAGUGGCGAACGGGUGAGUAACACGUGAGCAAUCUGCCCCGAACUCUGGGAUAAGCGUUGGAAACGACGUCUAAUACCGGAUACGACGCUGGAGGGCAUCCUCCCAGCGUGGAAAGCACUUCGGCUCGGGGUGAGCGCGCGGCCUACCGGCUUGUGGGUGAGGUGACGGCUCACCAAGUCGACGGGGGGCGGCCGGACUGAGAGGGUGAGCGGCCGCCCUGGGACUGAGAGAAGGCCCAGACUGCUACGGGAGGCAGCAGUGGGGAAGCUUGCACAAUGGGCGCAAGCCUGAUGCAGCAGCGCCGCGGGAGGUAAGACGGCCUUCGGGUUGUAAACCUCUUUUAGCAGUAAAGGAGCGAAAGUGACGGUACCUGCAGAAAAAGCCCCGGCUAACUACGUG
rnacentral:rRNA from 1 species